GUGCUCGCUUCGGCAGCACAUAUACUAAGAUUGGAACAAUACAGAGAAGAUUAGCAUGGCCCCUG
rnacentral:snRNA from 1 species